CUCCAAACACCAAGAAGGAAUAUUAAGUGCACAAAAAGGAUUCUGGAGACCAGAAACUUCUCAAUGAAAGACGCUAACAGUCCGAGAAUCUGCAUUUGAAAAUAGCAGAAGCAGCAUUAUAAUACACACUACCCAUAAUAUCUAUAAUCUCCAAAACUUGUUGCGUUUUGCAAGAAUUGGAUAAAGAAUUGUCAGUAUAAGCACUAGUUUUAGUCUUCUUAAACUAUAUAUAGACUAAUUAGAACAUUUUUUUUUUUGGAUAUUCUAUUGUAAGGCUAUGACUUUGAAUCAUUGACUGGGAAAAGUAAGGCACACCAAUAAAUGAAAUCUUUAUCUCUUCUUCAUUGCUGCUAUGUUUCUACUUGGUGGAACAAAAGUGUUCAAAAGGAUUAAAGUAGACAUGAAAUGAAACCAAAACGUUAGAAUCUUAAGCUCAAAUAAUAGUUCAAAAGAGAGGUAAGAAAGAAGAGAAUCUGACGUUAUGGGCAGUAGUAGGAGUUGAAGAAGAUGGUGUUCUGCAAAUUCGAAGCUUUUGAUCGCAAUCGCCGAGUAAUCCCAAACCGUUUUGAAUUGAACAAGACGGGAGGAGAAAACAGAAAAGGCAAGCCAUUGUUGUUGCACCUGCCCAAAGUCGUAGACGGGCCCAGCCCAAAUAU
rnacentral:lncRNA from 1 species